AUUGAACGCUGGCGGCAGGCUUAACACAUGCAAGUCGAGCGAGCGGCGGACGGGUGAGUAAUGUCUGGGAAACUGCCUGAUGGAGGGGGAUAACUACUGGAAAAGGUAGCUAAUACCGCAUACCAUCAGAUGUGCCCAGAUGGGAUUAGCUAGUAGGUGGGGUAAUGUCUCACCUAGGCGACGAUCCCUAGCUGGUCUGAGAGGAUGACAAGCCACACUGUAACUGUGACACGGUCCAGACUCCUACGGGAGGCAGCAGUGGGGAAUAUUGCACAAUUGGCGCAAGCCUGAUGCAGCCAUCCCGCGUGUUUGAAGAAUGCCUUCGGGUUGUAAAGCACUUUCAGCGAGGAGGCGUUAUUCGCAGAAGAAGCACCGGCUAACUACGUGCCAUCAGCCGCGGUAAUAC
rnacentral:rRNA from 1 species